rnacentral:ribozyme from 13 species
CACCCACUUAUCUUCUUCCAUUUGCUGUUUUCUUCUUCUCCUUUUCUCUCCUCGAUAAUCUCUCUCAAAUUUAUCAAAUGUUGUCAAAGUAUGAAACACAAUGGGUUUAUCUGCUGCUCGAACAAAGUUAUAUUCCCCCAUGCACAUAGAUAAAAAUGGGAAGUUUUCUUGAUGAUAAUUGGUUGUAUUUUUUUCGAUUCUUUUGAAAAAAAAGUUUAAAAAAGUUUU